rnacentral:rRNA from 1 species
AUCGUAGGAUGCGAGCGUUAUCCGGAGUUACUGGGCGUAAAGCGUGCGCAGGCGGUUCUGUAAGUGGCUUGUGAAAGCGCCCGGCUAAACCGGGCGAGGACAGGUCAGACUGCAGGGCUGGGAUGGAACAGAGGGCUGUGGAAUUCCGGGUGUAGCGGUGAAAUGUGCAGAGAUCCGGAGGAACACCAGAGGUGAAGACGGCGGCCUGGGUUCCAAUCGACGCUGAGGCACGAAAGCGUGGGGAGCGAACGGG